rnacentral:guide_RNA from 1 species
AUAUAUAACACGAACAUCCGAUGCAGUGAUUAGAGGUAAGAGAAUUAU